UACGAAGGGUGCAACGUUGCUCGGAAUCAUUGGGCGUAAAGGGCGCGUAGGCGGCCUUCUAAGUCAGACGUGAAUCCCUCGGCUCAACCGGGAACUGCGUCUGAGACUGGAAGGCUUGAAUCCGGGAGAGGGAUGUGGAAUUCCAGGUGUAGCGGUGAAAUGCGUAGAUAUCUGGAGGAACACCAAUUGCGAAGGCAGCUCGCUGGGACGUCACUGACGCUGAGACGCGAAGCGUGGGAGCAACAGG
rnacentral:rRNA from 1 species